rnacentral:rRNA from 1 species
CGGGAGACACACGGCGGGUGCUAACGUCCGUCGUGAAGAGGGAAACAACCCAGACCGCCAGCUAAGGUCCCAAAGUCAUGGUUAAGUGGGAAACGAUGUGGGAAGGCACAGACAGCCAGGAUGUUGGCUUAGAAGCAGCCAUCAUUUAAAGAAAGCGUAAUAGCUCACUGGUCGAGUCGGCCUGCGCGGAAGAUGUAACGGGGCUAAACCAUGCACCGAAGCUGCGGCAGCGACAUGUAAAUGUUGUUGGGUAGGGGAGCGUUCUGUAAGCCGCUGAAGGUGUGCUGUGAGGCA